AUGAACUCGCUCAUUGCUCUAGAAGGUGCUUGGGCUUGUUUCUCUGACCGAUUAGCUGCGACAUCUCACAUGGAUCUUCACUGCCUCAUAGACCUAUUUUUUAUUCUCUCGUCAAUUCUACAUGUCUGCUCGUCCAUUGCAUGCCAGGUAAAUCAUAUGCAUAACCAUGGAAUGGCACAUACUGGCCCCAGGCUGUACAAAUUCAUCGCAAGGCCGGUUAAGCUGUAUAACAAAAAUAUUCGCAAUCUGCAAAAUAUCAUCGAAGACAAGAAAACACCUGACCAUUACUACGUAUGCCACAUGACAGAAACAUUUUCUACUGACGGCAAAAGAAUGUAUUGUAGCACACACUUUUCUAAGAGAAGUCUCUUCCCGCACAUGGAUGCUGAUCAUGAUGAGCUACCAAUCAGUACAGGAGACGGGACCACCAGUGUCAUGGCCCUCUUUAUCAAGGGCGUCGACAACAAGGCUACACUCACAAAGAACUGGAGCAGCUUCUUCCAUAAGGCAAACAUGAAGAAAGGAUGUGCAUAUGCUUUCACCUUCAAGUCGACAUCUGUGGAUGGGUUUUCGCUGGCCUACUCGACCGUGCGUUACCCUGCUGCUUUGGUGGCUCCGGUUAGCACUUGGGCCAGUGGUGCAGUGGCUUGGGUUAUAAGUGGCUCGGGUGAGGGCCGCCUCCUCUCCUCCUCGAUUCUUCUGCUGCCGCAGCCACCCCCCUCUCCUCUCCCCCAAUUCUCCCACCACCGCCGCCGCCUCUCGUCUCAUCCAUGUAGCCAGGGCCUAGACGUCAUCGGCUCAGUCCGCGGCGGUAUGGAUGAGGAGGCGAGAGCUUCAGAGGCAGGGGCGAGGAAGCAGAGAGUCCUUCCCGAGGGCGCCCCAACCUGCCAGAUCUUCCAACUCAUUGGCCCAGGCAAGGUAAAAAUGUUGGAUCCGGCGGUGGCUGGAAUCCCUUAUCGCCGAAGGAUGGCGUGCAUGACGUAUGACCAGAAAAUCAAUAGGCAGAUGGAGCAGGACGGGGUGACGAUUCCCGUUUGGCGGCGUUCGCGUGUUUUGGCUAGCGGCCUGCACUUCCUUCUUCCCCUGCCUGGGGCGCCGCCAUGGCCAGUAGGAGAAGCACGGGUGACCGCAGCUGAGCUUCCAUGUAAGAUAGCCCCGAGCCCCCGACACAUCCUCUGCCACACCAACCUUGCAGCAUCUGGCCUUUGCAGGAUGCAGAAAAUGAUGGAGUGCAUGAUGCUUCAGCAGAUUCUGCAUUAUUGUCAAACGCUUUUCCUGAGCUAUGACUUGACUGGCUCCAGUCUGGUUCACCGCUGCAUUUUGUUUGUUGAUGCCUUGACUUUUAGGCUGUCACAGCUAUUCUUCUUUCAUCUAUAUCCUGAAGGAGACCCGAUGGCAUGGCUGUACAAGUGGCACCCCCGGUCAGGUGGACGUUGGAUGCUUUCUUCAGUGUUUCUCUUUUCCCGCAGGCUUGAUUUCCUUGUGGUCGUAACCCAACUCCCAAAAGUUUCACAAAAACAUAAACAUGCUUGGAUGUGUGUCCUUGCUGGCGACCUCGCUGUCUCCAACCCCUCCGUCUGGACAGUACAAGACUUCACCAAACUAUCAAUUGAAGUGCAGGUUCAAGGAUCUGUGGUAGGUGUAUUUAGUUUUCCUAUGAUGAUGGCACAUUAUGAAUACUAUACACUCUCUUCAUUUCUGUUUUCCCCUCCUAAGCCAUUUAUUCUGUCUACCACAGAUAACAACAACUAUCACGUUGGUGAUUUCCCUGAUAUCUCGUUCUACAAGUGUGUCAUAUGGACCAAUGAAAGAAAAUAUAUUUUGGAGAUAAUAACUAUAUGGGCUACUCCAAAUGGAGGUCCUAAUGUGAUGAACGACGUGAUGAGGGAGAUAGUCGAUGUCCGUGAUGUGGCUGAUGCUUUGCGUAUGGUAUACAAGAAACCGGAAUCAUCUGGAAGAUAUAUCAGCGCAUCAAACUACAUUACCACAAAAGCCAUGCUGGAAUUGUUAAGGAAGGCGCGCCCUAACUACAAUUACGUGAAGUGGUGGGUCUCUUACCAUGCGUUCCUUGUAUGCAGCAAAUGGUGCAUUCUGUUUCCUGAACGGUCGUGCUUUGUUUCCAUGGUUUGA
rnacentral:rRNA from 1 species